UACGUAGGUGGCGAGCGUUGUCCGGAAUUACUGGGCGUAAAGGGAGCGUAGGUUGCGAUUUAAGUUAGGUGUGAAAGCCCGUGGCUCAACUACGGAACUGCAUUUAAAACUGGAUUGCUAGAGUACAGGAGAGGUGAGCGGAAUUCCUAGUGUAGCGGUGGAAUGCGUAGAUAUUAGGAAGAACACCGGAGGCGAAGGCGGCUCACUGGACUGCAACUGACACUGAGGCUCGAAAGCGUGGGGAGCAAACAGG
rnacentral:rRNA from 1 species